rnacentral:lncRNA from 1 species
CCGCACCGAAUGUCGCAUCCCCAGACAUGCUGCCGCCGGCGGAGAAGGACUACUGGUCCCUCCUCGCCAUGCACUACCAGCAGCAGCAGCAACAGCACCUGCAGCAGCAGCAGUUCCCCGGCUCGGCAUUUGACGCCUAUGGCUCCGGCGUGAACGUGGACUUCACGAUGGGCAUGAGCGGCACCAACAACCCCAGCGGCGGCGGCGCCACCGUGUGGGGCGCCACCGGCGCAACAGGACACGGCGGUGACGGCAGCAGGCAGAGCAACAGCUACGCCAGCAACAUUCCUUAUACCUCCAUGCUGUCCGGAUCAGCGGCGUCAGCCGGCGGGGGGUACGAGGGCUCCACCGGCAACAAUGGCACCUGGGUGACGACGAGCAACCCGGCCGCCGGCACGACGGCGCCGCAGUACUACAACUAUCUGUUUGGCAUGGAGUAGCAGGUUAUCGAUCUCUGACUGCCUAGCUAGUAGAGUAGCUAGCUGUAGCUGAAAUUGGGUGGUAGGCCUAGGAGGAGGAGGGAGAGGGACUAACAUGGAACUGAUCAAAAUUUUGGCUGCUGCUGCAUGCAUGCAUGGGAACGAUGCUGUAUGAUGAAUGCGAUGCAUUCUUCUGUUGCUACUAUUCUUUUUUGCUUCCUGACAAGGUCCUGUAGGCUGUAGCGGAGAACACUCGUGUAUCAUCCGGAAUUUCUAAUCCAGGUUAUUCUUCUAGUUCUCUGGUGUGUCAGCUACAGUAUGAUCAUUUGAAAAGUACUGUGUAUAUCUUCUGCUUCUUCUAGUUCUUUGGCUAGUUACAGUAUGGGUGUUUGAGAAGUACUGUAUGUCUAAUAACUUCACGGAAACCUAUUGAACAAGUAUG